AUUGAUAAUGUAGCAAACAAAAACAUUUCAAAAAGAUCUAAUGAUGGAUCAUUGAAGAAUAAUGCUUGUAAUUCUUUAAAGCAAUCAGAUAAAAAUAACGAGACAAAACAACCAGUUUUAGAAGAUUGUUUGAAGAACAAAAAGUUAACUAGUCAAAGUACCUACUUUAGAUCAACUACUGCAACAAUUUAUUGUGAGUGCUAAUGUACCAUUUAGAAUUAUUGAAAAUCCAGUUUUAAAGGAAAUAAUUUCUGAAGGUUUUCCAAACAAAAAAAUUAUUUCUCGGCCUACAUUAUUGAAAAAAAUUGAGUGAUUUUCAAGAAUUAUCCUUACAAAUGAAAUUUGAGAUGUCCAAAUGUCCCCAUAUUGCUAUGGUUGCAUACGGUUGGUCGAUUUUUAAAAAAUCAUACAUUGGAAUAACUGUCAUGUGGAUUAAUGAACAUUUUUCAAGAAGUACUCGUAUUUUAGCAUUGAAUCGACUAGAAGGUUCACAUACGUUUGAUAUAUUAGCCAAAGCUAUGGAUGCAGUAUACAUUCAGUUUGAGAUUUCAGAAUAUCUGGUCAUAUAUUUGGUAAUGAAAAUGCUGAAAGUUUUAUUAGAUUACCAGUGAACGAUUCAAUAAAUGAAGAUUUAGAAGAAAUUGAUGUAAUAAACUUGAACAUUCUAAAUGAUGAAGACAAUGAUUUUGAUUUGCAAUAUACUUUACUUAAACACCAUCGAUGAUGUACACAUACAAUUAA